CUUCUUAUAAUUUGGGUGUAAUUGCGCGGUAUUUCUAACGAUUAUUCGUUUGAAAUAAUAAAACUUGUUGUUUUCUAUUCAACAAAAAGAUAAAAACUAUUCAAUAGAAAAUCUUAGUAGUUACAAGUGGACGCAGAAUCAAAUAAUAUGUAGUACAGAAUGUUAAUUAAUGAUGAUAAAUCUGAUGUGUCAAAUUAAACACGAAACUGAAAAAAACAUAACGAUUGCUUUGAAAAAUUCAUCAAAUUACUACAUUGUGAAAACUUACUUUCGCAAAUACUUGAUUGAUUUUUGGUUUGUGAUGUGUGUGCUCCAAAAGCAAGCUACGAACAAUAUAACAUAAAAUGGAAGAGAAAUGGUCGGUAUUCUAAUACGAAGGGAACUCAUCAAUCACAACCUCGUUAUGUCCCGGCGCACUUCUUCUUCUUUUUUCUUCACCGUUUGCCCCAUUCACAAGCGGGGUCGGCUCCUCGUGACAGGUUUCGCCAUUCGGUUCUAUCAAAAGCGUGAUCUGAA